rnacentral:rRNA from 1 species
GAUGAACGCUGGCGGCGUGCCUAAUACAUGCAAGUCGAGCGAACAGACGAGGAGCUUGCUCCUCUGACGUUAGCGGCGGACGGGUGAGUAACACGUGGAUAACCUACCUAUAAGACUGGGAUAACUUCGGGAAACCGGAGCUAAUACCGGAUAAUAUAUUGAACCGCAUGGUUCAUUAGUGAAAGACGGUUUUGCUGUCACUUAUAGCUGGAUCCGCGCCGCAUUAGCUAGUUGGUAAGGUAACGGGUUACCAAGGCGACGAUGCGUAACCGACCGGAGAGAGUGAUAGGCGGCAUGGGAGGGUAGACAGGGUCCAUGCGCCUACGGGAGGCAGCAGUAGGGAAUGGGCGGCAGCAGGCGAAAGCCUUGCGGAGUGACGCCGCGUGUGUGACAGAGGUCUUCGGUUCGUAAUACUCUGUUAUUAGGUAUGAACAGAUUUGGAAGGAACUAUGCACGGCUUGACGGUACCUAGUCAGAAAGCCACGGCUAACUACGUG